AGUAAGCCGAAUAGUCGCUGAUGAUAACCGAAAGGUUCCAUGAGAGGAAAGUCCGGGCUCCAUAGAGCAAAUGGUGCUAGAUAACGUCUAGUGAGGGAAACCUUAAGGAAAGUGCAACAGAAAAUAACCGCCAAGAAAUUGGUAAGGGUGAAAAGGUGAGGUAAGAGCUCACCGGAGAGAUAGUGAUAUCUCUUGUUCGUGUAAACCCCACCUGGAGCAACACCACAUAAGUCCAAUAAGGCUAAGACUGCUCGUCAUCUUAUGGCAGUAGGUGGCUUGAAAUAUAUAGUAAUAUAUAUUCUAGAUAAAUGACUAUUCAAGACAGAACCCGGCUUAUAGACUUACUUU
rnacentral:RNase_P_RNA from 1 species